rnacentral:rRNA from 1 species
CGAGUGGCGGACGGGUGAGUAAUGCUUGGGAACUUGCCUUUGCGAGGGGGAUAACAGUUGGAAACGACUGCUAAUACCGCAUAAUGUCUUCGGACCAAACGGGGCUUCGGCUCCGGCGCAAAGAGAGGCCCAAGUGAGAUUAGCUAGUUGGUAAGGUAAAGGCUUACCAAGGCGACGAUCUCUAGCUGUUCUGAGAGGAAGAUCAGCCACACUGGGACUGAGACACGGCCCAGACUCCUACGGGAGGCAGCAGUGGGGAAUAUUGCACAAUGGGGGAAACCCUGAUGCAGCCAUGCCGCGUGUGUGAAGAAGGCCUUCGGGUUGUAAAGCACUUUCAGUUGUGAGGAAAAGUUAGUAGUUAAUACCUGCUAGCCGUGACGUUAACAACAGAAGAAGCACCGGCUAACUCCGUGCCAGCAGCCGCGGUAAUACGGAGGGUGCGAGCGUUAAUCGGAAUUACUGGGCGUAAAGCGCACGCAGGCGGUUUGUUAAGCUAGAUGUGAAAGCCCCGGGCUCAACCUGGGAUGGUCAUUUAGAACUGGCAGACUAGAGUCUUGGAGAGGGGAGUGGAAUUCCAGGUGUAGCGGUGAAAUGCGUAGAUAUCUGGAGGAACAUCAGUGGCGAAGGCGACUCCCUGGCCAAAGACUGACGCUCAUGUGCGAAAGUGUGGGUAGCGAACAGGAUUAGAUACCCUGGUAGUCCACACCGUAAACGCUGUCUACUAGCUGUGUGUGUCUUUAAGACGUGCGUAGCGAAGCUAACGCGCUAA